AAGUCGUAACAGGGUUUCCGUAGGUGAACCUGCGGAAGGAUCAUUACAGAGUUCCUGCCCUUACGGGUAGAUCUCCACCCUUGCAUACCUUACACUUGUUGCUUUGGCAGGCCGAUCUCCGGACCGCUGGCGCUUCGCUAGCGAGUGCCUGCCAGAGAACCACAAACCAAACAUGUAUUAGUUUCGUCCGAGUACUAUAUAAUAGUUAAAA
rnacentral:misc_RNA from 1 species